CACGUAGGGUGCAAGCGUUGUCCGGAAUCAUUGGGCGUAAAGAGCUCGUAGGCGGCUUAGUAAGUCGGGUGUGAAAACCCCAGGCUCAACCUGGGGACGCCACCCGAUACUGCUAUAGCUAGAGUCCAGUAGGGGAGUGUGGAAUUCCCCAGUGUAGCGGUGAAAUGCGCAGAUAUUGGGAGGAACACCAGCGGCGAAGGCGGCAUCCUGGACCGGCAUUGACGCUGAGGAGCGAAAGCCAGGGGAGCAAACGGG
rnacentral:rRNA from 1 species